rnacentral:rRNA from 1 species
AUGCCGGUGAGGGGCCCUCUUCCCCCUACCGGCCGGAGCCCGGAAGCAACAUGGCCGCCAGGCGUUUGCCGCAAAUCGCGAUUUGGUUCCACCUCGUGCGCCACCACUUCUUUUUGCUGCUGCUCAUGUGCUUUUCUGCUACAGCAACCCACCAGGCUGCAGAGGUUGGACGAGACCAACGGCUGCGACGAUUUCGCCGGCGACGAUGCCCUCGUGCGCGACGGCCUCCCCACCAUGGUUCAAGCUCCAAGCCGAGCAGGGCAUAGAUUUGCUAGAACCGGGCGACGGCACAGCUCCAACCAUGUUCAAGAUUUGCUGGAAGCAUCUGCACAAAAGCUGGAACCGAGUCAGCGAUUUUUUUGCUGCAUUGAAUUUUUUGCUGGAACCAGCACUUGUUUUUGCUGGAACCGGCCAGCGAUUUUGCUUCCUCAAAACAGAUGGUGCUGGGCGGCGACGCCGGUGGCUGCGAGAUUUUUUUGCUACAUCAAUUUUUUUUGCUGGAACCAGCAUUUGCUUUAG